AUAACCCAUUUGUUCUCCUAAUUCCUUACCCUCUUUCCCCUUUGAGCGUACCCAUCACCGAAGGCCAAAACCAUACCUCUGUACAACCUCCAUCGUCUCUACCACUAUAUCCCCAUCAACCUUCGUCAACCAGCAGAACCUCAAUUUUUUUUUUCCUUCACCUAUAAACUUUAUCUCCUCCACCAGAAACAAUAACAAUUCAAUUAAUCCAAGCUCCAUGUUUUCAAAUAGUCCCAAAAUUCUAGGGUUUUUCUCGAUUAAGCUCGAUUGCCACUUCUUGUUCUCACUGAACCCUAAUUCAAGGUUUUCACUCGACUCUCGCAAAUUUCUGAUUUGCAUGAUCUUCUUUUAUACCUUUUCUAAUAUUUCAAUAGUUGAGCCAUAACUUGCAUAUAUCAUUAGCGAGGAAGGAAUUGCAACUGAUAGUUGUGGGAUAUAUAAUUGAGUAAUUGAGCGAUGUAGUGUGAUUGAAUGGAGAUUCAAAUCUACAUGACACAAGCAUGAAAACGUAUUUAUUGGGACUUUAAAAUUACUGGAACUUGGGGUUUUGGUUUUUAUUGAUUUUCUUAGUUAUCUUUAUUCAUGUAAAAUUUCUGUUUUAUAAGGCUUUUUUGGUUGCAAAUUUAUCUCUAUGGCUAUGAUUUAAGAAUAAUCUUGUCUUUCUAAUAGUUUGAUGCUUGUGUUUGAAACUAAUAUAGAAUUCGACUAAUCUUGUGGAGUAUUUUAAUCCAUCAGAUCUUGAGUCUGUAUUUAUUAUUCGCCAUGCGGAGAGAGCCAAUUAUUAAACCAGAAUUAGUAGAGGGCCAAAAUAUACCAUUUUAUGGAAUUUGAAAGUGGCCCUUUUGCUCCUGUUCUAUUUUUUCAUAAGUUCGUCAGAUUUUUCUAGUAGCUUAGGCUUUUGAGAAUGAGAUAAGGAUUAUGUAACAUAAAAAAAUUAGAUAUAGUCUCAGUAGAUUAGCUAGUGUCGUUUAAAACUAAGUUCUCAUUAUUAUAGAUUAGCUAGUGUAGUUUGGUUCUAUAUAUAAAACUAAGUUCUCGUUAUAACUCUUGCCUUCUGAGUUCCAAGUUCUGACUUCUACAGAAAGGAGAGGGUUAACCACUUGCAAGAUAAUCGAGUGUGUAAUGUGAGACGAAUUGGGUUAGUAUAGCAGCACUGAGUCAUACUUAAGCUUUAAAUUUUUUUAAAAGAUGCACAAUUGUUGUAUGGUGUAAUUUACCCGAUGUCGUUUUGAUAAUAAGAUGACAACUCUCUGAACAUAUUAAAAUUUUAACUCACGAUGUUUUAAUUAAAAUUGGGUUAGUAUAGCAGCACUGAGUCAUACUUAAGCUUUCUAAUAAUGACUCCUCCGCAAUAGUAAGUAGAUUUCGAAGCCUGUUAAGUUUGAUUAGAAAUUGUAUGACAGUUUCAAAGAGAAGAAUUUAAUGUGGACUGAAAAAGUUUUAAUUAACACAAAUUAUCUCAGGAAUCAUGCUAAAGUCAUGGAUCAUUUGAGUCAGUUAAGCAUUUCAUGAUUUUUCCUAACCAUUGGGUUACUGUUGCCACUAGACAGUGGAAGGGAUAGAGAAGGAUGGGUCUGUGAAUUGUUUUAGUUUAGUCCUAAUAGCCAUAUUGAGGGAGUAACAAAGAAUGAAGGAAAAUCUUAACUCGCAAAAGGAUGCUAUGGAACAAGAAAUUGUAAUGAACGUCGUCACACAACUUCAGCGUUUGAACUCAGAAUUGCGACUUGAUCCUAAGAUGCUAAGGUUCAGCGAGCACCUGUAGAAGCGUCUUCUGCACAACAAGCUGCCAUUCAGCUAAUCAAUCGACCAUCUACUGGUAGUAACAAUCAGUACGUACCAAAUGUUAUACCUCUUCUAUUUCUUCUUCUUCUCCUCCUUCCUUGUGCCGCUUCUUCUACCACUGCUCUCUUUCUCUCUCUCGAAGAGUCAGAUUAGUCUAGUAAUUUGUUUACUUUGCCUAUAGCACUUAGUCGCUGCGUAAUUCUAUUUCCUUGCUAGUGUCAUUACUAUGAUGCAUAUUCUUUUAUGUUGCCUUGCCGACUCUUUGUUGUUGCAUAGCCACUGCAUAAUUCUGUGGUAAUUGGUAAAGUUGUUGCAUGAGGGAGAAAAUAGUCUUAGAUUACAUAGUGAACAAAUGAAAAGUUGGGCCUCUUUUUCUAUGCCUUAUGGAAUUUUGUAUGUGCGUUUUGCUCAAAUUGUACCUGCACAUCUUUUGUUAUAUUUAUAAGUGCAACUACUACUGCUGCCCUU